rnacentral:rRNA from 1 species
UACGUAGGGUGCGAGCGUUGUCCGGAAUUACUGGGCGUAAAGAGCUCGUAGGUGGUUUGUCGCGUUGUCCGUGAAAACUCACAGCUUAACUGUGGGCGUGCGGGCGAUACGGGCAGACUGGAGUACUGCAGGGGAGACUGGAAUUCCUGGUGUAGCGGUGGAAUGCGCAGAUAUCAGGAAGAACACCAAUGGCGAAGGCAGCUCUCUGGGACGGUACUGGACGCUGAGACGCGAAAGCGUGGGGAGCGAAC